CAUGCCGUAAACGAUGAGUGCUAAGUGUUAGGGGGUUUCCGCCCCUUAGUGCUGCAGCUAACGCAUUAAGCACUCCGCCUGGGGAGUACGACCGCAAGGUUGAAACUCAAAGGAAGUGACGGGGGCCCGCACAAGCGGUGGAGCAUGUGGUUUAAGUCGAAGCAACGCGAAGAACCUUACCAGGUCUUGACAUCCCAGUGACCGCUCUAGAGAUAGAGUUUUCCCUUCGGGGACAUUGGUGACAGGUGG
rnacentral:rRNA from 1 species